AGACUCAUCUGCGGGAGAGGAGAAUAGCUGCACUCUAAGCAGUUCGCAGGGAGCAUCUUUGAGCAGCUGGAACAGCUUUGCGGCCUUGCUGUAAUGAAGAUCUGCCAGCACCCGGUGUUGUUUCCUAAGGUGUUCAUCACCAACCUAGAACCAAACCAAAACAAGCAACAAAUCCUUCACGAGAAAGAAAGAAAACAACUGUGUAAGCAGACAUCAGUGUAAACCCUAGCACUGUCUCUUGAUGAGAUAAGAGGAGGAUGGCAGUGACAGGAGUGUGGUGGCAAGCCAGUCACCUGCAGUCAACCGCGGCUCAUUGCUCUCACCACGCCUGUUACAUGAAGGUAUGUAUGUAUAGGAAAAAGCACAGAAAAACUCUCCAGUUUCAGGCAUCCACUGGGGAUCUUGGAACACAUCCUCCAAGGACAAGUGGGGUCUACUGUACAACACUUAAGUAUAACCCUCUUCACUAUUAAUCAAAUGAUAUUAAAAUAAGCAAAGAAAAACA
rnacentral:antisense_RNA from 1 species